rnacentral:rRNA from 1 species
AACGAACGCUGGCGGCAGGCCUAACACAUGCAAGUCGAACGCCCUAGCAAUAGGGAGUGGCGCACGGGUGCGUAACGCGUGGGAAUAUGCCCUUGACUACGGAACAACACAGGGAAACUUGUGCUAAUACCGUAUAAUGUCUCCGGACCAAAGAUUUAUCGGUCAAGGAUUAGCCCGCGUUAGAUUAGCUAGUUGGUGAGGUAAUGGCUCACCAAGGCUACGAUCUAUAGCUGGUCUGAGAGGAUGAUCAGCCACACUGGGACUGAGACACGGCCCAGACUCCUACGGGAGGCAGCAGUGAGGAAUAUUGGACAAUGGGGGGCAACCCUGAUCCAGCCAUGCCGCGUGAGUGAUGAAGGCCUUCGGGUUGUAAAACUCUUUUAGAUGUGACGAUGAUGACGGUAACAUCAGAAAAAGACUCCGGCUAACUUCGUGCCAGCAGCCGCGGUAAU